UGGGGAAUAUUGCACAAUGGGCGCAAGCCUGAUGCAGCAACGCCGCGUGAAGGACGACGUAUUUCGGUAUGUAAACUUCUAUCAGCAGGGAAGAAAUAGACGGUACCUGAGUAAGAAGCCCCGGCUAACUACGUGCCAGCAGCCGCGGUAAUACGUAGGGGGCAAGCGUUAUCCGGAUUUACUGGGUGUAAAGGGAGCGUAGGCGGCAGGGCAAGUCAGAAGUGAAAGCCCGCGGCUCAACCGCGGGACUGCUUUUGAAACUGUCCGGCUGGAUUUCAGGAGAGGUAAGCGGAAUUCCUAGUGUAGCGGUGAAAUGCGUAGAUAUUAGGAGGAACACCAGUGGCGAAGGCGGCUUACUGGACUGACAAUGACGCUGAGGCUCGAAAGCGUGGGGAGCAAA
rnacentral:rRNA from 1 species